rnacentral:SRP_RNA from 1 species
GCUGGGCGUGGUGGCGCGCGCCUGUAAUCCCAGCUACUUGGGAGACUGAGGCAGGAGAAUCGCUUGAACCCAGGAGGCGGAGGUUGCAGUGAGCUGAGAUUGUGCCACUGCAUCCAACUUGGGUGACAGAGUGAGAUUCUGUCUCAA